rnacentral:rRNA from 1 species
AGUGAACGCUGGCGGUAGGCCUAACACAUGCAAGUCGAACGGCAGCACAGUAAGAGCUUGCUCUUACGGGUGGCGAGUGGCGGACGGGUGAGGAAUACAUCGGAAUCUACUUUUUCGUGGGGGAUAACGUAGGGAAACUUACGCUAAUACCGCAUACGACCUACGGGUGAAAGCAGGGGAUCUUCGGACCUUGCGCGAUUGAAUGAGCCGAUGUCGGAGUAGCUAGUUGGCGGGGUAAAGGCGCACCAAGGCGACGAUCCGUAGCUGGUCUGAGAGGAUGAUCAGCCACACUGGAACUGAGACACGGUCCAGACUCCUACGGGAGGCAGCAGUGGGGAAUAUUGGACAAUGGGCGCAAGCCUGAUCCGGCCAUACCGCGUGGGUGAAGAAGGCCUUCGGGUUGUAAAGCCCUUUUGUUGGGAAAGAAAAGCAGCAGGUUAAUACCCCGCUGUUCUGACGGUACCCAAAGAAUAAGCACCGGCUAACUUCGUG